rnacentral:rRNA from 1 species
UACGGAAGGCAGCAGUGGGGAAUAUUGCACAAUGGGCGCAAGCCUGAUGCAGCCAUGCCGCGUGUAUGAAGAAGGCCUUCGGGUUGUAAAGUACUUUCAGUCGUGAGGAAGGUGUUAAGGUUAAUAACCUUAGCAAUUGACGUUAGCGACAGAAGAAGCACCGGCUAACUCCGUGCCAGCAGCCGCGGUAAUACGGAGGGUGCGAGCGUUAAUCGGAAUUACUGGGCGUAAAGGGCACGCAGGCGGUUAAUUAAGUUGGAUGUGAAAUCCCCGGGCUUAACCUGGGAAUGGCAUUCAAGACUGGUUAGCUAGAGUCUUGUAGAGGGGGUAGAAUUCCAUGUGUAGCGGUGAAAUGCGUAGAGAUGUGGAGGAAUACCGGUGGCGAAGGCGGCCCCUGGACAAAGACUGACGCUCAUGUGCGAAAGCGUGGGGAGCGAAACAGGGAUUUAGAU